GACGAACGCUGGCGGCGUGCCUAAUACAUGCAAGUCGAGCGGACAGAAGGGAGCUUGCUCCCGGAAGUUAGCGGCGGACGGGUGAGUAACACGUAGGUAACCUGCCCCUUAGACUGGGAUAACUCCGGGAAACCGGAGCUAAUACGGGAUAAUAAAGAGAAUCGCCUGAUUUUCUUUUGAAAGACGGUUUCGGCUGUCACUAAGGGAUGGAACUGCGGCGCAUUGGCUAGUUGGUAAGGUAACGGCUUACCAAGGCGACGAUGCGUAGCCGACCUGAGAGGGUGAUCGGCCACACUGGGACUGAGACACGGCCCAGACUCCUACGGGAGGCAGCAGUAGGGAAUCUUCCGCAAUGGACGAAAGUCUGACGGAGCAACGCCGCGUGAGUGAGGAAGGCCUUCGGGUCGUAAAGCUCUGUUGUGAGGGAAGAACAAGUGCCGGGGUAACUACCGGCACCUUGACGGUACCUCACCAGAAAGCCACGGCUAACUACGUGCCAGCAGCCGCCGUAAGAC
rnacentral:rRNA from 1 species